GGCGUGUUGGCCAGUGCCCAUUGAUGGCUGCGCUGAGACGGGAGGCCUGGUAUCCAGUUGCCGGAAUCUCUAUUGUCCCUUGAGUGGAAGAGUGAAAAUUUAAAACGGUCACAAAUUGUGAAUUUGCUCAACCAUGCGAUCCCUCAAAAACUCGUUCGAGGGCUAAGCCAUUUUAAUGCAGAGUUUCCACAGCGCGUCAUGCCAUUAUCAUUGGCGUCCGUUGGGAGAAAGCCUUUUUGGCAUAGCCAGAGACGGAGAAUUAAAUCCAACCGAAAAUAUGUUCGUGUGCCUGUUGUAAAACGUGGAGGACGGAACCUCUCGGAUGAGUCCAUAGCGGUGGCUCAAGGGAUCUAGCCAAGUUACCAGCAACCCAUGGAGUGGACAAUGAAAGCAGAACAACGGGAUCUUGAAGCUGAAUUACCAGGAUGCCUCGCCAUUUGGCUGCGCCGAAAUGCCGAACGAAUCAGAUAGUUUCUCAAAGCUGGACACACCAAACGAGCUUCUGUCACGGAUCUAUCUUAUCUAGCUCCCUCGACGGAUCGAAAAGCCUUGAUAUAUCAUAAUAUCAAUCUGGCGAAACACCACAUACCCCGCCAACCUGGAAUUGUUAUUUCUGCGGACUGCAUUGCAAAAGCCAGCAGGAUCGAUGGAUAGAGCGCCGAGGCUCAGAUGGAAAUAAACUUUACCAGUACUCCGUAUUUUGCGCUGAUAUGUCAAGGCUACAGGGGCAUGAGCUGAGUGACCACCACCAACUAGCAGCUAGCCCAAGAAGAGGGGACAAGCCACCAACCUAAUCCUUCCAACGUAUUGCUAGCCUCCGUAUUUCCAUCAUGGACAGUCAGGGCACCUUAGCGCACCUUAGCGCAGGAAAGGGUCUGAUGGCAGCGAGCUCGGCCGUGGCAAAUUUAGGCUGGGAGAAUCGCUGAACACCGCUGCACUCCGUUCGGAGUUACAGAGUCGAGAGAUGUGGUGUCUCGGAGAGCGAAGACAUACUGCGUAGUUCUUCCAUUUGUAUCCCAGGUUCAAUUGAUUGGAAAACUACCAAUAGCACAUGUACGGUACAUUGAAUUUCAGAAGAAAUCCAAUUUUAUAUUGAAAGGCGAGGGGGUGUGUGAGCUAAUCGUGGACACGGAUAUUCAAUUUUGGCAGCCCCUUUCAAUUGUAUGCCGCAUAUGUGAUUUGAUAGAGAAAAACUUGCACCAAGAGAAAAGCUUGGACCAACAGUUAAAAGUUCGUUCGGUGCUUAUGGCUUAAAUAGGCUACUGGGGAGCCAAAAUUGAAUCAAGGCCGUUAAGACGCUGGCUUGAUGAGGCACUCUUGAUCAGUCCGCUGUUGAAGGGUUGAGAUUACUUUCAGCGAGACCAGCCCCUUGGAGACUCGGCGAGAAAAUUACUCUAA
rnacentral:sRNA from 1 species